CGAUCACAGCCGCAGCCACUGGAGUAGGCACGGGAACAGUGCUGGACUCGGAACUCGUUAGUGACGUGUAUCCUCUACGCACUUUUUGGUCCAUUAAUUAGUUAUCUACGCCGAAGUUGCAGCGCACAGGCGCACAGCAGCGCACAGGCACGCAUCGCAUAGCGCUGCUUGUCGCCGUCUUGACGCUACGUUGUGGGUUGUGCGGCUUGGUGCAAGGAGAGCUUGCACCACUGCCCUUGCCAUCACUUCGGUAUUUGCCGUCAGGACACCACGAGCCGGGUUGUGCGGCUUGGUGCAAGGAGAGCUUGCACCACUGCCCUUGACAUCACUCUGGUUGUUGCCGUCAGGACACCACGAGCCGCCAUGCUCCCCGAAAUUACGGGUUGUGCGGCUUGGUGCAAGGAGAGCUUGCACCACUGCCCUUGCCAUCACUCUGGUUGUUGCCGUCAGGACACCACGAGCCGGAAGAUUUGGGCUGGCUCACAUUAUCGACGUGCAUCCUCUGCGGACUUUCUUUCCUGGUCCGAAAAUUAGUUAUCUACGUCAAAGGUGACGGUGCCAACGAAAGUAAGCAGAUGUGCUAAUUAGCCAACUUAUUCCAUCUGCAGUGCUUCCGUUUCCAUCCGUCCCCAAGUGUUACGCUGUACAGCCGGCCGAUUCCUUACCAUAUUAAAGUGGAAAGUUGUGCGAGUUGGUACCCAUUCAUAAUGGUAACAGCGCGAGCCAAACGACGACGGAGGGAAAGGACACAGGACGAGCGCUGACUCGCAGCUAACUUUACUGAAACACACGCACGAAGGAAUAUAAGCGAAACAUGCGAUCACAUCGCUCAGCGAGGAACGCACAUCUAGGCUACGUGGAUACAUGGCAUCUGUUACCGUAUCGAGCUACCUAGGUAAAUGAAUUGCUGUUGCGAAAGUGCGAUCAGAGGCUGGCUAAUGCACCACGUGCCCUUUCCCUCAAUGUGGGCUGCUUCCACGACUAAUCUGGUGGGUAAAUCAGUAUGCUUAAACAAAAUUGUCUCUUUGACCAGAGGCUUACACUUACAUCGUCGGCAAUCGACAGACACAUGCGCUUAAUCAUUCUCGUCCAAGGACAAUUCAUGCUCCAUAAGUCUUACAUUGAUGCACCGGCCAGUUCGGCCUACGUGCACUCGCCCACACUCCAGCGGGAAAGAGUACACCACAUUGGUAGUGCAGCCUACAUACCUAUUACCAUGGUUCACUUUGCACCUUACAUUAGAAUUACGUUAUGCUGCACUUGCUCGCCUUUCAACCGCCAGACAUAUAGAACUAAAUUUUCCAGGAACGCCUCACACGCGUUCACGAAGUGAAACGUCACUAAGUUUUUUUUUCUUUUUUUUUUAGUGUGCUGAUGUAGUGCUCAUGCGCAGAAAAGUAAUGCAACGUUGAAAUGCACCCGUAUCAUGGGGACAAAGAGCAGCGCCAGGGGGGAUUAUCAACUUUUCGAUCUAGUUUGAAACUUGGCGCAAGCUUCCGCGGAGUUAAUCACCACAGGUGCGCUGUCAUGCACCAGGGAAUGGCCUAGAAGACGAAACUUGCGCUUCGCGCCGUCAGAAGGCACUGACGGCCGGCCAGUGACGCUCGCGCGGUACUGCUACAGAAUCGUUCGACUGUACAUGCUACGCAGUGCUUUAGGGAGGACUCCGGUUAUAUGCGUUAAUACGUCAUAUAACUUUUAAAUUACAUUUCUAAAAGUAUAUCUGCAAAAUUUCACGGGUAUUGUUAUUGUGUCAAUCACCGAUGCAGCCACCGUUUUCGAAAGUCGCCAUCGGUGAAAGACAACGUUCCAAUCCACAAAAACUUACUCUGUGUUGAUUUAUCAGCGCGCAAUUACUUGCGCUCAAUAUAUUGUUACGCAGAAAAGCCGCACGUUAUGAAAGACUUUAUAAAAAAUCUUUAUUGAGUGAAGAAGGAAUUAUUAGUGUAUUUAGUUUUACGCUACGUAGUCGAGAGAUGCUCAAAUUGGCGGACUACUUGCACGGGCGUAGUACAAAAAAGGGAGCUUUGGCUCGGUGUCUUUUGCUGCGCUUCCACGGAAAGUUGUCCCGUGGUAUUGAUCAUUGACCGGGUUUGUAUUAGGGAGCA